GCUAGGAUGAACGCUAGCGGCAGGCUUAACACAUGCAAGUCGAGGGGCAUCGGGAGUAGCAAUACUGCCGGCGACCGGCGCAAGGGUGCGUAACGCGUGAGCAACAUGCCCGUAUCAGGGGGGAUAAUCCAUGGAAACGUGGUCUAAUACCCCAUAGUAAUUAUGUAAGGCAUCUUAUAUAAUUUAAAGCUUUGGUGGAUACGGAUUGGCUCGCGUGACAUUAGCUAGAUGGUAAGGUAACGGCUUACCAUGGCUACGAUGUCUAGGGGUUCUGAGAGGAAGGUCCCCCACACUGGAACUGAGACACGGUCCAGACUCCUACGGGAGGCAGCAGUGAGGAAUAUUGGACAAUGGAUGGAAAUCUGAUCCAGCCAUGCCGCGUGCAGGAAGACGGCCCUAUGGGUUGUAAACUGCUUUUGUAUGGGAGCAAUAAGGGCUACGCGUAGUCCGAUGAGAGUACCAUACGAAUAAGCACCGGCUAACUCCGUGCCAGCCGCAGC
rnacentral:rRNA from 1 species